UUAAUGUAUAUUAAAAUCGGGGUUGAUUUCCUCUAAAAGUCUGAUUAGGAUCAUAUAACUUCAUGGUGGUAAUAUUCUUAUUAUUAUUGACUUGCUAUUCUUGUUUGUUCUUUAAUUCAUUUUCAGGGCGAACUCAUGGUAUUGGUUCAGCCACCCAAGACACCCAAAAAACAAUAGAACAUUCCACAAUUUCGUCGACAAAACUAUCAGAUGUUUGCAGGACUGUGUGAAGAAACAUAACAUCCGGUACUGUGCAUAUGCAUCAGAUUGCCCGUAUAAGCUGAUACCCGAACUCCAAGCGGGACUCUAUUAUGUGUACGCUCGUGAUUGGAUGAACGCUUUCUCACGUGAUGGCGUACUCGUCAUCCGAUUAGAGGAUUGGCAAGCAGAUCCUCUUCGUGUUUACAGGCAACUGAUCAAAUUCCUUGACUUGAGAAAACUCAGCGAGGAAGAAGAGAACAGAAUCAUCCAUAAAACUCGAGAAAACGUUAAUAGAAGAAAGCGUAUACUUUCGCCUCAAACGAAGAAGAUUUUGGACGAUUUCUAUCGGCCUUACAACAAGGAAAUGGCGCUUUUAAUGAAUGAUGACAAAUUCCUUUAUCCUUCAAAUUAACCACCCCCCCCCCCCCCCCUCUGCCAUAUAACAAAAAUACAGGAAACUACAAAAUAAAAUCCCUGCAGAGAACAAACAAAUAUCAAACCGUGAUAAGUAACCUAACACAACCAGGGGGCGUUUCACAAAACUUGUCAUCAGUGACA